GAGUUCCUUCUGGGGUUUUAAGAAAUUCUCCUUUGCAGUUUCUUCAUAAGUUUGUCAGGGAUUCCCGUUGAAUUUCAUACUAGGAUCCAAAGAGUUCCGUCAUUCUGCAUUCUUCCGGAAAAUCCUUCUCCAGGUGUUUUAUUUGGGGUUCUUCUAGGAUUUUCUACUGGAAUUCAUCUAUGCGUUCAUUGAUGGGUUUCACCAAGAGCUUCUGCUGGUUUUUCUCCAAGAGCUUUUUAUAUUAAUUUACCAAAAGUUACUACUUUCAGGAGAUCGUUCUGUUUAUCAUCCAGAACUUCUAUCUGAAAAAUUCUUAAGGAGUUUUUUUUUCGGAAAUCCGGCAGAAGCUCUUUUUGAGAAUCUUCAGAAAUUCUUGUUUAAAUUCUUACAAGAAUUCCUCCACCGGGACCUCUCAGAAGUUUAUUUUUCUCUAUAGGAAUCCACCAGGAAUUUCUUAUGGGAAUCCUCCAAGAGUUCCUCUCCGGAAUCUUCCAGGAGUCACUCCUGGAAUUCCUCCAGGAAAUCCUUCUGAGACCGGUCCUAGUGUUCCUUUUUCCUAGGGUUUCUCCUGAUAAUCUCCCAGGAUAUUUUCUGGGAUUUCAUCUGAAUUUUCUGCUGGGAUUCAAAAAGUUCCGUCUACAUGCAUUUUUUUCAGGAAAUCCUUUUCCAGCUGUUCUUGUUAGGGUUCCUAAAGCAGUAUCUACUGGAAUUCAUCUAUGCCUUUAUUAUUGGAUUCCGUCAACUUACGAUGGGUUUUCUCCUGAGGCGAAUUUAGAAUUUCUCAAGGAUUUCGUACUGUCCUUAAGGACAAACGUCUUAAAAUCCCGCUACAACAGUGCAUAAGAACUUCAGAUGCACAAAUCUCAAGAAGCAAGCUUCAAACAACAAUGCAUUUUAUUAUUCUGUUCUUGCUCACUUGUAAUAAGCUUAAAAUAAGAAAACCAGGCACGCUGGUUUUGUUUACAAAGAGAUUUGUGCGCUUGAAAUCGUGAGUAGGUGCCAAAGUCGGACAUUGUGGCGGCCAUUUUGGGAUUCUAACAAGUCUGUCCUUAAAGAGCUUCUUAUGUCAAUCUUCCGAAAGUUUCUUCUGGAAACCCUUCAGAUGUUCCUUCUGGGUGCUCUCCAGAAGUUCCUUCUGUAAAUCUUCAUGGGUUUUAUGUUUAUCUUCCAAAAGUUGUUUCUAAAAAUCCUCCAGGGGUUUUUUAUGGAAAUUCUGCAGAAAUUUUUUUUUGGGAAUCUUUCACGAAAUUUUCCAACAGAAGCUCUUUUUGGAAAUCUUCCAGAAAUUCAUUUUAAGAUCCUUCCAGGAGUUCUUCUUAAAUGAAUUCUCCAGGGAUUUAUUCAGGGAGUCUUCCAAGAGUUCCUUCUUGGAAUCUUUCUGGAAUCUCUUCUGGAAAUUCUCCAAGAAUUUCUUCUGGGAACGCUCCUUGUGUUUCUUUUAGGAUUUGCUUCAAAAGUUUCUCCUGAAAAUCUACCAGGAGUUACUCCUGGGAAUCUUUCAGGUGUUCUUGAAGAAUCACUGGAGUUCCUGCAUUUAUUUCUUGAAAUAAUUCACGGAUAAAUCCCAGAUCAUUCCUGUUGAAAUUCCUGAGAAAGUAUCUACGGAAGAUUCUGGAUGAAUCCACAGAAAGUAUUCGAAGAGGAAUUUCUGGAGGAAUCCUCAUAUGGACGUCCCUGAGAAAUGCCCAUAGAAAUAUCCUUAGUGAAUUCUGAGAAUUAAUUGCCUGAGGAACCCCAAAAAGAAUCCAGCAGAUGUUCCUAGACGAAUCCUCAGAAAGCUAAGUUAAAUGCGCGAGACAUCGGAUCGCGCUAGCAAACAGGGCGUAGCAGUAGAUAGGGGCGUUAUUGAACUGAUGCUUGCAUGCAAGUUGCUAGCGCAAAACUCGUUUUUAAAACGAUGUCCGUGCACGGGGCAUUCUUGCCAUUCCAAUCGAAACUGCAGUUCGAUGGAGUUCGAUGUGAAUAGGUCGUAUGUUUGCUGUGAUUUUUAUACAGAUUCGCCCUAUGCAAAUCGAACGCCAGAAAAUAUUUAUAGUCCUGUUCAAUGAAGCCAAUUCGUAGACAAAUGGGUAUGCGCAGGAUGCAGCAGCAACUUCGACCAUGUUCAACCUACUUCAUUGAACAGGACUUAUGCGAGCAGUUGAAAAUCGGAAUUUGAAUUUUUUUUCUCAAUUGAGAAUUGCAAAUUAUCCAAACUUUUCUCAAAAUUCAAAGGAAAAAACACGUUUUCUGAAUUAUGACUCGGUUAUUCUUAUUUUCUGUAUGUAGUUUGUUGAUCAUUUUAGCUUUUUCAUUUUUUUUUAAACGCAAUUCUCAAUUAACACUUAUUCACGAAGUUCGUAUUUGAUGAGUAGAGCAAACAUGCCUAUUUUAGCAAUAAACAAGAAUAAAGCCUACAUUUGAUCAUGCCCCAUAGCCUUAAGCAGUAAGAAAAAAAUGUUACGUAUUUUUCAAUGACCCCUAACGAGACCAACUCAGAAUAAUCAAAUACACGUCUGAGAAGAGUCCAAUGCAUUUACUUUAUUAAGUUGUGCCUGCCGAGAUGAGAAAUAGCCAAAUAUUGCCUAUAUAUGGCCAUAUCCCAUACCCAUCAUAAGCAGGAAAAAAUGUUACGUAUUUUGCAAGGACCCCUAACGAGACCAACUCAGAAUCAUCAAAUACACUUCUGAGAAGAGUCCAAUGCAUUUACUUUAUUAAGUUGUGCCUGCCGAGAUGAGAAAUAGCCAAAUAUUGCCUAUAUAUGGCCAUAUCCCAUACCCAUCAUUAGUAGGAAAAAAAAAGUUACGUACUUUGCAAUGACCCCUAACGAGACCAACUCAGAAUAAUCAAAUACACGUCUGAGAAGAGUCCAAUGCAUUUACUUUAUUAAGUUGUGCCUGCCGAGAUGAGAAAUAGCCAAAUAUUGCCUAUAUAUGGCCAUAUCCCAUACCCAUCAUUAGUAGGAAAAAAAAGUUACGUACUUUGCAAUGACCCCUAACGAGACCAACUCAGAAUAAUCAAAUACACGUCUGAGAAGAGUCCAAUGCAUUUACUUUAUUAAGUUGUGCCUGCCGAGAUGAGAAAUAGCCAAAUAUUGCCUAUAUAUGGCCAUAUCCCAUACCCAUCAAUAGUAGGAAAAAAAAGUUACGUAUUUUGCAAUGACCCCUAACGAGACCAACUCAGAAUCAUCAAAUACACUUCUGAGAAGAGUCCAAUGCAUUUACUUUAUUAAGUUGUGCCUGCCGAGAUGAGAAAUAGCCAAAUAUUGCCUAUAUAUGGCCAUAUCCCAUACCCAUCAUUAGCAGGAAAAAAUUUACGUAUUUUGCAAUGACCCCUAACGAGACCAACUCAGAAUAAUCAAAUACACGUCUGAGAAGAGUCCAAUGCAUUUACUUUAUUAAGUUGUGCCUGUCGAGAUGAGAAAUAGCCAAAUAUUGCCUAUAUAUGGCCAUGUCACAUACCUAUCAUUAUCAGGAAAAAAAAAGUUACGUAUUUUGCAAUGACCCCUAACGAGACCAACUCAGAAUCAUCAAAUACACUUCUGAGAAGAGUCCAAUGCAUUUACUUUAUUAAGUUGUGCCUGCCGAGAUGAGAAAUAGCCAAAUAUUGCCUAUAUAUGGCCAUAUCCCAUACCCAUCAAUAGUAGGAAAAAAAAGUUACGUAUUUUGCAAUGACCCCUAACGAGACCAACUCAGAAUUAUCAAAUACACUUCUGAGAAGAGUCCAAUGCAUUUACUUCAUUAAGUUGUGCCUGCCGAGAUGAGAAAUAGCCAAAUAUUGCCUAUAUAUGGCCAUAUCCCAUACCCAUCAUUAGUAGGAAAAAAAAGUUACGUACUUUGCAAUGACCCCUAACGAGACCAACUCAGAAUAAUCAAAUACACGUCUGAGAAGAGUCCAAUGCAUUUACUUUAUUAAGUUGUGCCUGCCGAGAUGAGAAAUAGCCAAAUAUUGCCUAUAUAUGGCCAUAUCCCAUACCCAUCAAUAGUAGGAAAAAAAAGUUACGUAUUUUGCAAUGACCCCUAACGAGACCAACUCAGAAUUAUCAAAUACACUUCUGAGAAGAGUCCAAUGCAUUUACUUUAUUAAGUUGUGCCUGCCGAGAUGAGAAAUAGCCAAAUAUUGCCUAUAUAUGGCCAUGUCCCAUACCCAUAAUUAGCAGGAAAAAAUGUUACGUAUUUUGCAAUGACCCCUAACGAGACCAACUCAGAAUAAUCAAAUACACGUCUGAGAAGAGUCCAAUGUAUUAACCUUAUUAAGUUGUGCCUGCCGAGAUGAGAAAUAGCCAAAUAUUGCCUAUAUAUGGCCAUAUCCCAUACUCAUCAAUAGUAGGAAAAAAAAGUUACGUAUUUUGCAAUGACCCCUAACGAGACCAACUCAGAAUCAUCAAAUACACUUCUGAGAAGAGUCCAAUGCAUUUACUUUAUUAAGUUGUGCCUGCCGAGAUGAGAAAUAGCCAAAUAUUGCCUAUAUAUGGCCAUAUCCCAUACCCAUCAAUAGUAGGAAAAAAAAGUUACGUAUUUUGCAAUGACCCCUAACGAGACCAACUCAGAAUCAUCAAAUACACUUCUGAGAAGAGUCCAAUGCAUUUACUUCAUUAAGUUGUGCCUGCCGAGAUGAGAAAUAGCCAAAUAUUGCCUAUAUAUGGCCAUAUCCCAUACCCAUCAAUAGUAGGAAAAAAAAGUUACGUAUUUUGCAAUGACCCCUAACGAGACCAACUCAGAAUUAUCAAAUACACUUCUGAGAAGAGUCCAAUGCAUUUACUUUAUUAAGUUGUGCCUGCCGAGAUGAGAAAUAGCCAAAUAUUGCCUAUAUAUGGCCAUGUCCCAUACCCAUAAUUAGCAGGAAAAAAUGUUACGUAUUUUGCAAUGACCCCUAACGAGACCAACUCAGAAUAAUCAAAUACACGUCUGAGAAGAGUCCAAUGUAUUAACCUUAUUAAGUUGUGCCUGCCGAGAUGAGAAAUAGCCAAAUAUUGCCUAUAUAUGGCCAUAUCCCAUACUCAUCAAUAGUAGGAAAAAAAAGUUACGUAUUUUGCAAUGACCCCUAACGAGACCAACUCAGAAUCAUCAAAUACACUUCUGAGAAGAGUCCAAUGCAUUUACUUUAUUAAGUUGUGCCUGCCGAGAUGAGAAAUAGCCAAAUAUUGCCUAUAUAUGGCCAUAUCCCAUACCCAUCAAUAGUAGGAAAAAAAAGUUACGUAUUUUGCAAUGACCCCUAACGAGACCAACUCAGAAUCAUCAAAUACACUUCUGAGAAGAGUCCAAUGCAUUUACUUCAUUAAGUUGUGCCUGCCGAGAUGAGAAAUAGCCAAAUAUUGCCUAUAUAUGGCCAUAUCCCAUACCCAUCAAUAGUAGGAAAAAAAAGUUACGUAUUUUGCAAUGACCCCUAACGAGACCAACUCAGAAUUAUCAAAUACACUUCUGAGAAGAGUCCAAUGCAUUUACUUUAUUAAGUUGUGCCUGCCGAGAUGAGAAAUAGCCAAAUAUUGCCUAUAUAUGGCCAUGUCCCAUACCCAUAAUUAGCAGGAAAAAAUGUUACGUAUUUUGCAAUGACCCCUAACGAGACCAACUCAGAAUAAUCAAAUACACGUCUGAGAAGAGUCCAAUGUAUUAACCUUAUUAAGUUGUGCCUGCCGAGAUGAGAAAUAGCCAAAUAUUGCCUAUAUAUGGCCAUAUCCCAUACUCAUCAAUAGUAGGAAAAAAAAGUUACGUAUUUUGCAAUGACCCCUAACGAGACCAACUCAGAAUCAUCAAAUACACUUCUAAGAAGAGUCCAAUGCAUUUACUUUAUUAAGUUGUGCCUGCCGAGAUGAGAAAUAGCCAAAUAUUGCCUAUAUAUGGCCAUAUCCCAUACCCAUCAUUAGUAGGAAAAAAAAAGUUACGUACUUUGCAAUGACCCCUAACGAGACCAACUCAGAAUAAUCAAAUACACGUCUGAGAAGAGUCCAAUGCAUUUACUUUAUUAAGUUGUGCCUGCCGAGAUGAGAAAUAGCCAAAUAUUGCCUAUAUAUGGCCAUAUCCCAUACCCAUCAAUAGUAGGAAAAAAAAGUUACGUAUUUUGCAAUGACCCCUAACGAGACCAACUCAGAAUCAUCAAAUACACUUCUGAGAAGAGUCCAAUGCAUUUACUUUAUUAAGUUGUGCCUGCCGAGAUGAGAAAUAGCCAAAUAUUGCCUAUAUAUGGCCAUAUCCCAUACCCAUCAUUAGCAGGAAAAAAUGUUACGUAUUUUGCAAUGACCCCUAACGAGACCAACUCAGAAUCAUCAAAUACACUUCUGAGAAGAGUCCAAUGCAUUUACUUUAUUAAGUUGUGCCUGCCGAGAUGAGAAAUAGCCAAAUAUUGCCUAUAUAUGGCCAUAUCCCAUACCCAUCAUUAGUAGGAAAAAAAAAGUUACGUACUUUGCAAUGACCCCUAACGAGACCAACUCAGAAUAAUCAAAUACACGUCUGAGAAGAGUCCAAUGCAUUUACUUUAUUAAGUUGUGCCUGUCGAGAUGAGAAAUAGCCAAAUAUUGCCUAUAUAUGGCCAUGUCACAUACCUAUCAUUAUCAGGAAAAAAAAAGUUACGUAUUUUGCAAUGACCCCUAACGAGACCAACUCAGAAUCAUCAAAUACACUUCUGAGAAGAGUCCAAUGCAUUUACUUUAUUAAGUUGUGCCUGCCGAGAUGAGAAAUAGCCAAAUAUUGCCUAUAUAUGGCCAUAUCCCAUACCCAUCAAUAGUAGGAAAAAAAAGUUACGUAUUUUGCAAUGACCCCUAACGAGACCAACUCAGAAUUAUCAAAUACACUUCUGAGAAGAGUCCAAUGCAUUUACUUCAUUAAGUUGUGCCUGCCGAGAUGAGAAAUAGCCAAAUAUUGCCUAUAUAUGGCCAUAUCCCAUACCCAUCAUUAGUAGGAAAAAAAAGUUACGUACUUUGCAAUGACCCCUAACGAGACCAACUCAGAAUAAUCAAAUACACGUCUGAGAAGAGUCCAAUGCAUUUACUUUAUUAAGUUGUGCCUGCCGAGAUGAGAAAUAGCCAAAUAUUGCCUAUAUAUGGCCAUAUCCCAUACCCAUCAAUAGUAGGAAAAAAAAGUUACGUAUUUUGCAAUGACCCCUAACGAGACCAACUCAGAAUUAUCAAAUACACUUCUGAGAAGAGUCCAAUGCAUUUACUUUAUUAAGUUGUGCCUGCCGAGAUGAGAAAUAGCCAAAUAUUGCCUAUAUAUGGCCAUGUCCCAUACCCAUAAUUAGCAGGAAAAAAUGUUACGUAUUUUGCAAUGACCCCUAACGAGACCAACUCAGAAUAAUCAAAUACACGUCUGAGAAGAGUCCAAUGUAUUAACCUUAUUAAGUUGUGCCUGCCGAGAUGAGAAAUAGCCAAAUAUUGCCUAUAUAUGGCCAUAUCCCAUACUCAUCAAUAGUAGGAAAAAAAAGUUACGUAUUUUGCAAUGACCCCUAACGAGACCAACUCAGAAUCAUCAAAUACACUUCUGAGAAGAGUCCAAUGCAUUUACUUUAUUAAGUUGUGCCUGCCGAGAUGAGAAAUAGCCAAAUAUUGCCUAUAUAUGGCCAUAUCCCAUACCCAUCAAUAGUAGGAAAAAAAAGUUACGUAUUUUGCAAUGACCCCUAACGAGACCAACUCAGAAUCAUCAAAUACACUUCUGAGAAGAGUCCAAUGCAUUUACUUCAUUAAGUUGUGCCUGCCGAGAUGAGAAAUAGCCAAAUAUUGCCUAUAUAUGGCCAUAUCCCAUACCCAUCAAUAGUAGGAAAAAAAAGUUACGUAUUUUGCAAUGACCCCUAACGAGACCAACUCAGAAUUAUCAAAUACACUUCUGAGAAGAGUCCAAUGCAUUUACUUUAUUAAGUUGUGCCUGCCGAGAUGAGAAAUAGCCAAAUAUUGCCUAUAUAUGGCCAUGUCCCAUACCCAUAAUUAGCAGGAAAAAAUGUUACGUAUUUUGCAAUGACCCCUAACGAGACCAACUCAGAAUAAUCAAAUACACGUCUGAGAAGAGUCCAAUGUAUUAACCUUAUUAAGUUGUGCCUGCCGAGAUGAGAAAUAGCCAAAUAUUGCCUAUAUAUGGCCAUAUCCCAUACUCAUCAAUAGUAGGAAAAAAAAGUUACGUAUUUUGCAAUGACCCCUAACGAGACCAACUCAGAAUCAUCAAAUACACUUCUAAGAAGAGUCCAAUGCAUUUACUUUAUUAAGUUGUGCCUGCCGAGAUGAGAAAUAGCCAAAUAUUGCCUAUAUAUGGCCAUAUCCCAUACCCAUCAAUAGUAGGAAAAAAAAGUUUCGUAUUUUGCAAUGACCCCUAACGAGACCAACUCAGAAUCAUCAAAUACACUUCUGAGAAGAGUCCAAUGCAUUGACUUCAUUAAGUUGUGCCUGCCGAGAUGAGAAAUAGCCAAAUAUUGCCUAUAUAUGGCCAUAUCCCAUACUCAUCAAUAGUAGGAAAAAAAAGUUACGUAUUUUGCAAUGACCCCUAACGAGACCAACUCAGAAUCAUCAAAUACACUUCUGAGAAGAGUCCAAUGCAUUUACUUUAUUAAGUUGUGCCUGCCGAGAUGAGAAAUAGCCAAAUAUUGCCUAUAUAUGGCCAUAUCCCAUACCCAUCAUUAGUAGGAAAAAAAAAGUUACGUACUUUGCAAUGACCCCUAACGAGACCAACUCAGAAUAAUCAAAUACACGUCUGAGAAGAGUCCAAUGCAUUUACUUUAUUAAGUUGUGCCUGCCGAGAUGAGAAAUAGCCAAAUAUUGCCUAUAUAUGGCCAUAUCCCAUACCCAUCAAUAGUAGGAAAAAAAAGUUACGUAUUUUGCAAUGACCCCUAACGAGACCAACUCAGAAUCAUCAAAUACACGUCUGAGAAGAGUCCAAUGCAUUUACUUUAUUAAGUUGUGCCUGCCGAGAUGAGAAAUAGCCAAAUAUUGCCUAUAUAUGGCCAUAUCCCAUACCCAUCAAUAGUAGGAAAAAAAAGUUACGUAUUUUGCAAUGACCCCUAACGAGACCAACUCAGAAUCAUCAAAUACACUUCUGAGAAGAGUCCAAUGCAUUUACUUUAUUAAGUUGUGCCUGCCGAGAUGAGAAAUAGCCAAAUAUUGCCUAUAUAUGGCCAUGAUUAGCAGGAAAAAAUGUUACGUAUUUUGCAAUGAACCCUAACGAGACCAACUCAGAAUAAUCAAAUACACGUCUGAGAAGAGUCCAAUGCAUUUACUUUAUUAAGUUGUGCCUGCCGAGAUGAGAAAUAGCCAAAUAUUGCCUAUAUAUGGCCAUAUCCCAUACCCAUCAAUAGUAGGAAAAAAAAGUAACGUAUUUUGCAAUGACCCCUAACGAGACCAACUCAGAAUCAUCAAAUACACUUCUGAGAAGAGUCCAAUGCAUUUACUUUAUUAAGUUGUGCCAGCCGAGAUGAGAAAUAGCCAAAUAUUGCCUAUAUAUGGCCAUGUCCCAUACCCAUAAUUAGCAGGAAAAAAUGUUACGUAUUUUGCAAUGACCCCUAACGAGACCAACUCAGAAUAAUCAAAUACACGUCUGAGAAGAGUCCAAUGCAUUUACUUUAUUAAGUUGUGCCUGCCGAGAUGAGAAAUAGCCAAAUAUUGCCUAUAUAUGGCCAUAUCCCAUACUCAUCAAUAGUAGGAAAAAAAUGUUACGUAUUUUGCAAUGACCCCUAACGAGACCAACUCAGAAUCAUCAAAUACACUUCUGAGAAGAGUCCAAUGCAUUUACUUUAUUAAGUUGUGCCUGCCGAGAUGAGAAAUAGCCAAAUAUUGCCUAUAUAUGGCCAUAUCCCAUACCCAUCAUUAGUAGGAAAAAAAAGUUACGUACUUUGCAAUGACCCCUAACGAGACCAACUCAGAAUCAUCAAAUACACUUCUGAGAAGAGUCCAAUGCAUUUACUUUAUUAAGUUGUGCCUGCCGAGAUGAGAAAUAGCCAAAUAUUGCCUAUAUAUGGCCAUAUCCCAUACCCAUCAUUAGUAGGAAAAAAAAAGUUACGUACUUUGCAAUGACCCCUAACGAGACCAACUCAGAAUAAUCAAAUACACGUCUGAGAAGAGUCCAAUGCAUUUACUUUAUUAAGUUGUGCCUGCCGAGAUGAGAAAUAGCCAAAUACUGCCUAUAUAUGGCCAUAUCCCAUACCCAUCAAUAGUAGGAAAAAAAAGUUACGUAUUUUGCAAUGACCCCUAACGAGACCAACUCAAAAUCAUCAAAUACACUUCUGAGAAGAGUCCAAUGCAUUUACUUUAUUAAGUUGUGCCUGCCGAGAUGAGAAAUAGCCAAAUAUUGCCUAUAUAUGGCCAUGUCCCAUACCCAUAAUUAGCAGGAAAAAAUGUUACGUAUUUUGCAAUGACCCCUAACGAGACCAACUCAGAAUAAUCAAAUACACGUCUGAGAAGAGUCCAAUGCAUUUACUUUAUUAAGUUGUGCCUGCCGAGAUGAGAAAUAGCCAAAUAUUGCCUAUAUAUGGCCAUAUCCCAUACUCAUCAAUAGUAGGAAAAAAAUGUUACGUAUUUUGCAAUGACCUCUAACGAGACCAACUCAGAAUCAUCAAAUACACUUCUGAGAAGAGUCCAAUGCAUUUACUUUAUUAAGUUGUGCCUGCCGAGAUGAGAAAUAGCCAAAUAUUGCCUAUAUAUGGCCAUAUCCCAUACUCAUCAAUAGUAGGAAAAAAAUGUUACGUAUUUUGCAAUGACCCCUAACGAGACCAACUCAGAAUCAUCAAAUACACUUCUGAGAAGAGUCCAAUGCAUUUACUUUAUUAAGUUGUGCCUGCCGAGAUGAGAAAUAGCCAAAUAUUGCCUAUAUAUGGCCAUAUCCCAUACUCAUCAUUAGCAGGAAAAAAUGUUACGUAUUUUUCAAUGACCCCUAACAAGACCAACUCAGAAUCAUCAAAUACACUUCUGAGAAGAGUCCAGUGCCUUUACUUCAUUAGGAUGUGCCUGCCUAGUUGAGAAAUAGCCAAAUAUUACCUAUAUAUGGCCAUGUCCUAAACCCACCGGUAGUAGUGAAAAAUGUUAGGUAUUUUGCAAUGACCCCUAACGAGACCAACUCAGAAUCAUCAAAUACACUUCUGAGAAGAGUCCAGUGCCUUUACUUUAUUAGGUUGUGCCUGCCGAGAUGAGAAAUAGCCAAAUAUUGCCUAUAAUGGCCAUGUCCCAUACCCAUCAUUAGCAGGAAAAAAAGUUACGUAUUUUGCAAUGACCCCUAACGAGACCAACUCAGAAUCAUCAUAUACACUUCUGAGAAGAGUCCAAUGCAUUUACUUCAUUAAGUUGUGCCUGCCAAUUCAUCAAUCAAUCAAAUACACUUCUAAGAAGAGUCCACUGCCUUUACUUUAUUAGGUUGUGCCUGCCUAGUUGAGAAAUAGCCAAAUAUUGCCUAUAUAUGGCCAUAUCCCAUACUCAUCAAUAGUAGGAAAAAAAAAGUUACGUAUUUUGCAAUGACCCCUAACGAGACCAACUCAGAAUCAUCAAAUACACUUCUGAGAAGAGUCCAAUGCAUUUACUUUAUUAAGUUGUGCCUGCCGAGAUGAGAAAUAGCCAAAUAUUGCCUAUAUAUGGCCAUAUCCCAUACCCAUCAUUAGUAGGAAAAAAAAGUUACGUACUUUGCAAUGACCCCUAACGAGACCAACUCAGAAUAAUCAAAUACACGUCUGAGAAGAGUCCAAUGCAUUUACUUUAUUAAGUUGUGCCUGCCGAGAUGAGAAAUAGCCAAAUAUUGCCUAUAUAUGGCCAUAUCCCAUACUCAUCAUUAGCAGGAAAAAAUGUUACGUAUUUUUCAAUGACCCCUAACAAGACCAACUCAGAAUCAUCAAAUACACUUCUGAGAAGAGUCCAGUGCCUUUACUUCAUUAGGAUGUGCCUGCCUAGUUGAGAAAUAGCCAAAUAUUACCUAUAUAUGGCCAUGUCCUAAACCCACCGGUAGUAGUGAAAAAUGUUAGGUAUUUUUCAAUGACCCCUAACGAGACCAACUCAGAAUCAUCGAAUACACUUCUAAGAAGAGUCCAGUGGCUUUACUCCAUUAGGUUGUGCCUGCCUAGUUGAGAAAUAGCCAAAUAUUGCCUAUAUAUGGCCAUAUCCCAUACCCAUCAUUAGCAGGAAAAAAAGUUACGUAUUUUGCAAUGACCCCUAACGAGACCAACUCAGAAUCAUCAUAUACACGUCUGAGAAGAGUCCAAUGCAUUUACUUUAUUAAGUUGUGCCUGCCAAUUCAUCAAUCAAUCAAAUACACUUCUAAGAAGAGUCCACUGCCUUUACUUUAUUAGGUUGUGCCUGCCUAGUUGAGAAAUAGCCAAAUAUUGCCUAUAUAUGGCCAUAUCCCAUACUCAUCAAUAGUAGGAAAAAAAAAGUUACGUAUUUUGCAAUGACCCCUAACGAGACCAACUCAGAAUCAUCAAAUACACUUCUGAGAAGAGUCCAAUGCAUUUACUUUAUUAAGUUGUGCCUGCCGAGAUGAGAAAUAGCCAAAUAUUGCCUAUAUAUGGCCAUAUCCCAUACUCAUCAAUAGUAGGAAAAAAAGUUACGUAUUUUGCAAUGACCCCUAACGAGACCAACUCAGAAUCAUCAAAUACACUUCUGAGAAGAGUCCAAUGCAUUUACUUUAUUAAGUUGUGCCUGCCGAGAUGAGAAAUAGCCAAAUAUUGCCUAUAUAUGGCCAUAUCCCAUACUCAUCAAUAGUAGGAAAAAAAAGUUACGUAUUUUGCAAUGACCCCUAACGAGACCAACUCAGAAUCAUCAAAUACACUUCUGAGAAGAGUCCAAUGCAUUUACUUUAUUAAGUUGUGCCUGCCGAGAUGAGAAAUAGCCAAAUAUUGCCUAUAUAUGGCCAUAUCCCAUACUCAUCAAUAGUAGGAAAAAAAAGUUACGUAUUUUGCAAUGACCCCUAACGAGACCAACUCAGAAUCAUCAAAUACACUUCUGAGAAGAGUCCAAUGCAUUUACUUUAUUAAGUUGUGCCUGCCGAGAUGAGAAAUAGCCAAAUAUUGCCUAAAUAUGGCCAUGUUCCAUACCCAUCAUUAGCAGGAAAAAAGUUACGUAUUUUGCAAUGACUCCUAACGAGACCAACUCAGAAUCAUCAAAUACACUUCUGAGAAGAGUCCAAUGCAUUUACUUUAUUAAGUUGUGCCUGCCGAGAUGAGAAAUAGCCAAAUAUUGCCUAUAUAUGGCCAUGUCCCAUAUCCAUCAUUAGCAGGAAAAAAUGUUACGUAUUUUGCAAUGACCCCUAACGAGACCAACUCAGAAUAAUCAAAUACACGUCUGAGAAGAGUCCAAUGCAUUUACUUUAUUAAGUUGUGCCUGCCGAGAUGAGAAAUAGCCAAAUAUUGCCUAUAUAUGGCCAUAUCCCAUACUCAUCAAUAGUAGGAAAAAAAUGUUACGUAUUUUGCAAUGACCCCUAACGAGACCAACUCAGAAUCAUCAAAUACACUUCUGAGAAGAGUCCAAUGCAUUUACUUUAUUAAGUUGUGCCUGCCGAGAUGAGAAAUAGCCAAAUAUUGCCUAUAUAUGGCCAUAUCCCAUACUCAUCAUUAGCAGGAAAAAAUGUUACGUAUUUUUCAAUGACCCCUAACAAGACCAACUCAGAAUCAUCAAAUACACUUCUGAGAAGAGUCCAGUGCCUUUACUUCAUUAGGAUGUGCCUGCCUAGUUGAGAAAUAGCCAAAUAUUACCUAUAUAUGGCCAUGUCCUAAACCCACCGGUAGUAGUGAAAAAUGUUAGGUAUUUUGCAAUGACCCCUAACGAGACCAACUCAGAAUCAUCAAAUACACUUCUGAGAAGAGUCCAAUGCAUUUACUUUAUUAAGUUGUGCCUGCCGAGAUGAGAAAUAGCCAAAUAUUGCCUAUAUAUGGCCAUAUCCCAUACUCAUCAAUAGUAGGAAAAAAAAGUUACGUAUUUUGCAAUGACCCCUAACGAGACCAACUCAGAAUCAUCAAAUACACUUCUGAGAAGAGUCCAAUGCAUUUACUUUAUUAAGUUGUGCCUGCCGAGAUGAGAAAUAGCCAAAUAUUGCCUAUAUAUGGCCAUGUCCCAUACCCAUAAUUAGCAGGAAAAAAUGUUACGUAUUUUGCAAUGACCCCUAACGAGACCAACUCAGAAUAAUCAAAUACACGUCUGAGAAGAGUCCAAUGCAUUUACUUUAUUAAGUUGUGCUUGCCGAGAUGAGAAAUAGCCAAAUAUUGCCUAUAUAUGGCCAUAUCCCAUACUCAUCAAUAGUAGGAAAAAAAUGUUACGUAUUUUGCAAUGACCCCUAACGAGACCAACUCAGAAUCAUCAAAUACACUUCUGAGAAGAGUCCAAUGCAUUUACUUUAUUAAGUUGUGCCUGCCAAGAUGAGAAAUAGCCAAAUAUUGCCUAUAUAUGGCCAUAUCCCAUACUCAUCAUUAGCAGGAAAAAAUGUUACGUAUUUUUCAAUGACCCCUAACAAGACCAACUCAGAAUCAUCAAAUACACUUCUGAGAAGAGUCCAGUGCCUUUACUUCAUUAGGAUGUGCCUGCCUAGUUGAGAAAUAGCCAAAUAUUACCUAUAUAUGGCCAUGUCCUAAACCCACCGGUAGUAGUGAAAAAUGUUAGGUAUUUUUCAAUGACCCCUAACGAGACCAACUCAGAAUCAUCGAAUACACUUCUAAGAAGAGUCCAGUGGCUUUACUCCAUUAGGUUGUGCCUGCCUAGUUGAGAAAUAGCCGAAUAUUGCCUAUAUAUGGCCAUAUCCCAUACUCAUCAAUAGUAGGAAAAAAAGUUACGUAUUUUGCAAUGACCCCUAACGAGACCAACUCAGAAUCAUCAAAUACACUUCUGAGAAGAGUCCAGUGCCUUUACUUUAUUAGGUUGUGCCUGCCUAGUUGAGAAAUAGCCAAAUAUUGCCUAUAUAUGACCAUGUCCCAUACCCACCGGUAGUAGGAAAAAUGUUACGUAUUUUUCAAAAAGACCCUAAAAAGACUAAAUCAGAACCAGGGAUUCCUGCAGAAGUCAUCGUUUCGGUCGAAUCAGCGCAGACACCAACACUUUCCCAUAUGAACACACGGGGGUUUAGUAACUUAAGUUACUUAAGGACAGACUUGUAAGAAUCCCAAAAUGACCGCCACAAUGGCCGACUUUGGCACCUACUCACGAUUUUGAGCGCACAAAUCUCGUCGUAAACAAAACCAGCGCAUCUGAUCUUCUUAUUUUAAGCUUAUUGCAAGUGAGCAAGAACAGAAUAAUGAAAUGCACUGUUGUCUGAAGUUUGCAUCUUGAAAUUUGUGCGUCCGAAUUUCUGGUGCACUAUUAAAGCGGGAUUUCAAGACGUUUGUCCUUAAGUUUAUACUUCAUUAAAACCAAUGCCGUAUUUCACUUUGAUAUCGUUUACGAAAAAAAAUGUACAAUUAAGCAAAACCAUGACCACACGAUAAGCAGAACAGCAAAAUCUUUAAGACGAAGACGAGAAACUAUUUUUCCCUUGAAAAAGGCCACACCCAAUGGCCGAAACGUCGGGUAAAAUAAACAUAUAACGUCUAAUUAAGUGUAUGACUGAGAUAGCCGAACAUAAAAGUUAUUUAUGCAGUUAUUUAUACAACAUUAGGGAAAAAUACCCUUAAGUACGAUCAUUUCCGACUGCUCACAUAGGUCUCAGCUAAAACCAUGUGCGGAACACAAACCCAUUUUUUCCAUUCAUGUAGGUUAUGUUAAUAAGUGUCACAACUAUUCGGAGUCGCGUCGUCAACGAGCGUUUUUUUGUACUGCUGCUUCUAACUGCUCUUCAGAAAAAUUAAAAAAUAGCUAAGAAUGAGAAAACGCUUCUUGUUAAAAGAUAACCAAUCCUGUUUUCGUCCAAACAUAAUUUAAAUCAAGGUUUAAAAUUUUUGUUCUUUUAUAAACCUCUUACCUAGGUACUUCUUAUUUAAUGUUAAAAAACCGCCAAAAUUUUUUUUAAAGAAUUUUCUUUCCUUCUUGUUGCUGCAAGAAAGUCGCCUAUUUGAUUUAUAUUUCUGCGUCCACAUGGAAAAAUUUCCUUUUUGAUAUUUUUUUUGCCCCCAAGAAAGAAUAAAAAAUCCUUUGUGAUUUUGGAAGAGCUCUGUAUGUAAGAAUUUUCAUGAAAUUUUCUCGAAGCGCUUGAGCGCCCUCAUAAAUUUAGAAAAAGUAAUCUGUGUCAUUUUUCAAAAUAUUUUGCUUCCCAUAUUGUGAGUAAAAUCUUUUUUCCAGUGUGAAGAAAAUUGUAUUCCGCCUUCUUGAAUUUAAUAAAAUGAUCUUUCGAACUAUUCUGCGUCUGUGAAUAUAACAAAUGUUUUGCCUCCAAACGUUAAAAAAUAUCCUUUAUGAUAUUGGAAAUUGCUUCUCCUGAAUAUAAGAAAACCCGCUAUUUGAUUAUUGAUUAUUUUUGCGCCCUCA